GGGCCUUUUCCACUGGGAGAUGGGGUUGUCUUGUUUGUUCUUGAAGAUGAAGUUUAGGGUGUUGUUUUUGGUGAGGGUAACGGCUGGAUGGCUGCUUGUGGCGUGGAGAAGAUGGUCGUUGAUGGAGUUCGUUUUAGAGUUAGCGGCCGAGAGGGGUCGUCGAGUUCUGUCGUUGAUGUUCAUAAAAAGAAGAAGGUUCCCCUAGGGUUUUGGUCUUGUGUCCGUGAAAGAGAACGGCUCAUUCUCAAAAUGUCCAGGUCUAGGUUUUUUUGAUUUUUUUUCUUGUAUAUUAUCUUAAAUGGGUUGGGUGUCUAGGUUUGGGCUUUUGAGUUAAUGGGCUAAGGGAUUAGUUUAAUUGGGCUACAAGCAAGACUAAAUUGGUCCAAAAACUAAUUAUAUUCUCUCCUCCUUUUGUAUGUAAAAAUAAUAGAGCAAACAAGAUAAC
rnacentral:lncRNA from 1 species